rnacentral:rRNA from 1 species
CCUACGGGUGGCAGCAGUGAGGAAUAUUGGUCAAUGGCCGGGAGUCUGAACCAGCCAAGUCGCGUGAGGGAAGACGGCCCUACGGGUUGUAAACCUCUUUUGUCAGGGAGCAAGGUGCAGGUCGGGACCUGCUGUGAGAGUACCUGAAGAAAAAGCAUCGGCUAACUCCGUGCCAGCAGCCGCGGUAAUACGGAGGAUGCGAGCGUUAGCCGGAUUUAUUGGGUUUAAGGGGUGCGCUGGCGGAGGCAAAAGGCGGCGGUAAAAUCGCGGGGCUCAACCCCGCUCCGCCGUUGAAACUGUGUCCCUGGAGUGCGCGAAGGGUAGGCGGAAUGCGUGGUGUAGCGGUGAAAGGCAUAGAUAUCACGCAGAACUCCGAUCGCGAAGGCAGCCUACCGGAGCGCAACUGACGCUCAUGCACGAAAGCGUGGGUAUCGAACAGGAUUAGAUACCCUAGUAGUC